rnacentral:rRNA from 1 species
UGAAGGCCUGGCUUUUGUUGGGUUGGAUGAGUGGCGAACGGGUGAGUAACACGUGAGUAACCUGCCCUCUUCUUUGGGAUAACGCCCGGAAACGGGUGCUAAUACUGGAUAUUCACUGGCCUUCGCAUGGGGGUUGGUGGAAAGGUUUGUUCUGGUGGGGGAUGGGCUCGCGGCCUAUCAGCUUGUUGGUGGGGUGAUGGCCUACCAAGGCUUUGACGGGUAGCCGGCCUGAGAGGGUGACCGGUCACAUUGGGACUGAGAUACGGCCCAGACUCCUACGGGAGGCAGCAGUGGGGAAUAUUGCACAAUGGGCGAAAGCCUGAUGCAGCGACGCCGCGUGAGGGAUGGAGGCCUUCGGGUUGUAAACCUCUUUCGCUCAUGGUCAAGCCGCAACUGUGGGUUGUGGUGAGGGUAGUGGGUAAAGAAGCGCCGGCUAACUACGUGCCAGCAGCCGCGGUAAUACGUAGGGCGCGAGCGUUGUCCGGAAUUAUUGGGCGUAAAGGGCUUGUAGGCGGUUGGUCGCGUCUGCCGUGAAAUUCUCUGGCUUAACUGGGGGCGUGCGGUGGGUACGGGCUGACUUGAGUGCGGUAGGGGAGACUGGAACUCCUGGUGUAGCGGUGGAAUGCGCAGAUAUCAGGAAGAACACCGGUGGCGAAGGCGGGUCUCUGGGCCGUUACUGACGCUGAGGAGCGAAAGCGUGGGGAGCGAACAGGAUUAGAUAGCCUGGUAGUCCACGCUGUAAACGUUGGGCACUAGGUGUGGGGGCCACCCGUGGUUUCUGCGCCGUAGCUAACG